rnacentral:rRNA from 1 species
UACGGGGGGAGCAAGCGUUGUUCGGAUUUACUGGGCGUAAAGGGCGCGUAGGCGGCUCGGCACGUCCGUUGUGAAAUCGCCCGGCUCAACUGGGCGGGGUCAGCGGAUACGGUCGAGCUUGAGCAAGCUAGGGGGCAAUGGAAUUCCCGGUGUAGUGGUGGAAUGCGUAGAUAUCGGGAGGAACACCAGUGGCGAAGGCGGUUGCCUGGGGCUUGCUGACGCUGAUGCGCGAAAGCGUGGGGAGCGAUCCGG